CCCGCAAGGUGGGCAGAUUGACGAUGACCAGAGGUCCAAACCAGAGGGCAGCAGUUGUCUUUAUCGUCUGAGUAGUAAACGUGUAUACCCACAUUCAUUAGUGAAUUUUUCGUUGCCCCCUCGUCGGAUUAAUUUCGGGAUUUGGAAUGGCAGCAAGUUUUUGGUCGAAUGGUGCCCGGUUAGCAUCUCUGCAGCAAAAUUGUCAAGUCACUAUAGGAGACAUCACUGCAGCAUAGACAGCAGUUUUUAAAAGGUGCACUGGAUAAUGUUUGCUUAGAACAAUAUUAGUUGGAGAAAUGUCAUUCAAAUAGUGAAUGGAAGUUAAAGAAAGGAGACAUCACUACAACUUGAUAGUUUCAAAAUCUGCUUUGGAUAACAUCUGCCUAAACUAAUAUUGUAGGAGAAAUUUCAGUCAAACGAUGAAUGUAAAUCAAAGGAAUACACAGUUUUCUUCAUGGAACGGUAUAAGACUGGUAGUCCUCCAAAUGGCAUGGAAAGUUAGUUAAAAUCUUGUCAAGAACUGAACAUACAAGGACAUGGAUGAGGUCGGAAGUGCUCUAAACCCAGUUCUGCAUGGAUAGGCACAGGAAUGAAGUCUUUCGCAGAGCUGAAAAUAUUUCAAGAUACGAUGACUAAAUUACAGGAGGACAAAACGUGCACAAGAUUCCAGAAAAUAUGCCGGGAUAUUGCUGAAGCUGGAAAUGUGGCCCAUAAUGGAAAGACUUCCUAUGCUGCAAGAAUGACGUCUUCUACAGAGUUGGUGAUUCAUCAGGACCCAAAGAUUAAAUUACAGGGAGUUUCAUGAGGACAGAAUAUGCAUGAACAUCCAGGAAAAUGCUCCAUGAUUUAUAGGCAGUGACAAGUGAUUUUUAUAGGAGCGAGUCUUGUACAACUGUAAACUACUUCGUUGCCUGGAAUAU